UACGUAGGGUCCGAGCGUUAAUCGGAAUUACUGGGCGUAAAGCGUGCGCAGGCGGUUUUGUAAGCCAGAUGUGAAAGCCCCGGGCUCAACCUGGAACUGCAUUUGGGACUGCAAGGCUGGAGUGACGGCAGAGGAGGUGGGAAUUCCACGUGUAGCAGUGAAAUGCGUAGAGAUGUGGAGGAACACCGAUGGCGAAGGGCAGCC
rnacentral:rRNA from 1 species